ACAUGCCUACAACAUAGCGUUAAUGCACUAGAUCCCAUUAGAACUAUGUAGUUAAGUGCGCUCAGGCUAGAGUAGUACUGGGAUGGGUGACCACCUGGGAAGUCCUGGUGUUUUACAUGCC
rnacentral:rRNA from 1 species